AUCAAGUUCUUCAAGAAGAAUUAUUAUCAAUGAAAGCUUUUGAAGAAGAACGUGAAAAACUAGAGAGCAAUAACAAGAAGUUACAGCAAGAAGUAGUAAAAUUGAAACAAUUUAUGGAAAUGAAUAUGGUAGAACGCAGUCAAGUGGAACAGUAUAAACGGGAGAUUGAAGAAAGAGCACGACUGGACAUAGUAGAAAAAUUACACGAAUUCAACCUGUUUUUACAGGCACAAGCAGCAGAUUGAGAAAACUUGGACCAGUUAAGAGAAAAUGUUCAUGCUUCAACGAGACGUCAAAUGGAACUUAGAAUUAAAGAUCUGGAAUCUCAGGUCUCUACAAUGAAGACUUCUCAAGAAGAUUCUACUAAAACAGAGUUGGAAACCUACAGGCAACUCUACUUAGAAGAAUUAAAAGUUAGAAAGUCCUUGAGAAAUAAGCUGAACACGGCUAAGGAGAGACUGUCAGAGAGCAAUACAAAUUUUCUUUUGGAGAGACAGCAGCACCAAACUUUACUCAGGACCCUUACUAUGAGCCCAGGCCUGGAACCACCUUAUUGUGGACAUUUUGAAAAUAAUUUAGUGCUCAAUGGAAACUUUACUCCAAGAGGAAACUUAGUGAUUCCUACCUUAAACCCACGGCCGUCCUAUGACGACAGGGAGACCUCCUUGUGGAAGACGCGGCAGGAGUUGGAGGAAAGAAUAACCAGAGAACUAGAAGAAGGUAUCAGCUGACAUAUCACCUUCACCAAAGAGCAGACAAUAUUGACACAAAACUGGGAUGUCCCUUCCGUAUGUUCCAUUAGUGCUGUGUUUUAUACCUGUCACUUACAUCUGUAUACUUGGCUCUGUUUGGAAAUGCCUGUUUGAUUUUUCAGUUUAUAGUUUAUGAUUGUUCAGGGUGGACUGUGUCCUCAUCUUGUAAUUUCAUCUUGUAAUGAAAAAAAACAGAAACUCUGACAUUUAUCCACAAUAGCAAUUAAUUCAGUGUGCAACCCUGAGCAAAAUAUAUUUAAUACUAAUCUUGGGUUUCAUAUUGCAGUUGUACGUAGGUAUUUUUCCUUUUUCUUAACACUCAUAAAGGCCCCAACUUUUUUU